rnacentral:rRNA from 1 species
ACUCCUACGGGAGGCAGCAGUGGGGAAUAUUGCACAAUGGGGAAACCCUGAUGCAGCCAUGCCGCGUGUGUGAAGAAGGCCUCGGUUGUAAAGCACUUUCAGUAGGGAGGAAGGUAGUGUAGUUAACACCUGCAUUAUUUGACGUUACCUACAGAAGAAGCACCGGCUAACUCCGUGCCAGCAGCCGCGGUAAUACGGAGGGGUGCGAGCGUUAAUCGGAAUUACUGGGCGUAAAGCGCAUGCAGGCGGCCUGUUAAGUCAGAUGUGAAAGCCCGGGGGCUUAACCUCGGAAUUGCAUUUGAAACUGGCAGGCUAGAGUCUUGUAGAGGGGGUAGAAUUUCAGGUGUAGCGGUGAAAUGCGUAGAGAUCUGAAGGAAUACCAGU